AUUUGUUAUCUAUCACAGUGAACUAUGGAUAUUGUCAAACAGAAUCACCACGAGCAACAGAGUCUUUGUAUGACAAGGCCUUCCUAUAGACAAGGAGGGAAGCUGACUGCAGUGAAGGUGUGGUGUAAAAGUGUACACAGUGUGUGAUGAAUCAGUUCAUCUGAUAAUAAGCAGAGUUCCUGCUAUUAAGCUACACUCCGAGCUGUGUACGCUUUGUAACCGCUUCGGAGAUGUCACCAGAUGUGUCCAAGUUCCUAAUUAUGAGACUGA
rnacentral:misc_RNA from 1 species